rnacentral:lncRNA from 1 species
CCUCGGCCUCGCGGUGUCUCUGCUUCUUGGCUUGUGACCUGUGCUGUCCACCAUGGCAUCUGGCACCACACCAGAGGCCCUAAAGGAAUGGGACAGCCCCACUGGAUGGAAUCGCCAGAACUGUGAGCUCAGUACACCCUUAGUUACAUCCUUGUGUAUUUUGUAAUGGACAAACAAAGCUGGGUGUUAUGCACUGCAUACACGUAAGGCAAAUGAAUGGGAAGGUAGAACUGGUGGGCAGUUCAAGGGCCAUGGCUUUGGUGUGACACCCGCAGCUUUGUAUGGUGUUUGCCGUCUGUGUUCAGCCGCCUGCUGCUGAGAACUAGGAGGGUCAGAGUAAACAGGGGCGGAGUUCCUGCCAGGUGAAAGACUGGAGGAGCAAUGAGCUACAGAGUUGAAGCUGUGGGCAACUCUCAGAUUAUAAUGACCUACCUUACUGUUUAUGCUGCAUGGUAAAGUUGGGGAAACUGAGGACUCCAGAGGAGGGAUCAUGGUGAAAGGGAGGCAGGACUUGAGUGUCAGAGGCCUGGAUAGAGCCACAACUUUGCCGAAAAUGGUUCAUUACAGCACAAGAGCACUUUUAAUUAUGGUGAAAGCCAAUAAGCAGUGCGAGCCUGCAAUCUCACGGAGGCGGAGCAGGGAUUCCAGUUGGAAGGCUGUGACCAUCACCCCGGCUGGAAACACCAUGCACGCUGCCUCAUCCUCCCCAGGACUCAGGAGCAGGUUCUUGCGUGUGCUGUGUUCUUUACAUAUCACAGACCUACACGUGGAUGUAAGCAGGAGAAGUGGAUGCCAUGAGUCCACUCAUAGGAUUUUCAGUGUAACAUCAGAUGGCAGGCAGACAAGGCUGUGGCUGACACAAUCCUCUCUGGUCAGCCCAACAGAGUUGCUGAAGUGCUUGCUGGGACCAACAUAUGAUGAGGUGGUGAAGUGCAGUAUAAUUAAGACAGGGAAACAGAAAUGCUCAGAUGGACUGGAGGCUGGGUCUGUGAGCUCAGUUCACCAUAAGGUUCAAGUGGCCUAGAGAUGAGAAGAUCCUGUGGAAGGAGAAUAUAUAGCUUCCUUACAUGAAAUGAAGGAGAAAUGACUCAUACAAAGUCAGCCAAGUAUCUUCAAGAUCUGGGAAACAAUUUCACGUCAAGUCCAUAAUUUCUGUGCUAGCACAUACAGACCAUGACCACCUGACUCUUGAAGUAGUCGGUAUCUAUAUGUUUUGAAAUAAUCCUUCAGCUCUACUCUACCCCUGAUGAACAGUAACCUAGAAGAGUUCUACAAAGUGAAAGACUUUUUAUGAGUCUGUAGUUUGAGGAUGAACUAUUAUUUCAUCUUCAAAGGGCACACUAAAUGUAAAUGCAAUUGGUAUUUAAGAUGAUUUAACAUCAGAAAGACAGUAUCACAUAUGCAUGGCCUGGAAUAACAUCGGAAAUUUGGUGGGCGCUCUGUAGGCACUGGGGUCAUGAGGAGGAGCUGCCUUAGCUGUCAUCCAGAUGCAUUUGUGUUACCAUGGAAACAGGAGCCUUCUGUCAGGAAGGGUAACAUUAUCUUUACACAUACCUGCAACUGUGAUAAUUCACAUUUAUGAUAUUGUAUUUGGCAACACUUCUCUUACCUGUAUUUGUAGGGAUAAGCUAAGGCUUGCUGUGUUUACAACAACCUCCAAAAUAUCCUUGGCUUAACACAAGAAAGGUUUCUGUCCCAGUCAUGCAGUGUUAGCUGCAGACUCUAAUCCCUAAGUUGGGACCACUUUUCUUGGGUUGCCUCCUGUUGGGGUAUACCAGUCAUCCCGGCAAGGGAGGAGAGACCAUGGGAAACCACAUGUAGCUCUGAACUAUUUCCACGUGGAAGUGACACAUCCCUCUCAUUUCAUUGGCCAAAGCAUGUCAUAUACCCACAUCUGGCUUCAUGAGGUCGCCAAGUAUGAGCUUGUGACCCAGAAAGAAAAUUUGUGAGCCCCAGUAAUGUCACCACUCCUACCUUGUUUGCCAUUUGUUCUUUCUGAGUUUUACAAGGUUUAAAAUUUUAUUGUUCUUGGCUAUCAUGCCUCUUGGUGAUAGCCCGCCUUCACAUGGUAGGGUGUACUUCUUUUCCUACUUUUACUUGGCCCAAAUGCAUUCUGCAGAGCCUGUUUCUUUUCCUACGUUUAAUAAAACUUUGCCACUGUUAAAUUUUUUUUAUUGUUCUUAUUUUCCGAAUGAGAUAAAGUAAAAGUAAAGGUCAAGUAACUUUCUCACAAUCAACCAGCUGGUAAGAAAUGGGACAGCUUUGACCCUCAGUCCUCUAAUGGCAAAUCCUCCCUUUCUUUCCUCCACCGUAGUGAUGGAGUCCACUGCUGAGAGUGUGCUUGGAGG